GGUUGAGAAGUGGGACGUAACUUCCACGAUGGGGGCGUAACUUCCAUGAGGAGUGGGCGUAACUUCCACGAUCAUGGUUACAACCACUCCCCCCACUACUUUCAACCAACCAAUAAUGUGGGUUGAUAUUACUAUAAAUAGUAAUUUCGAAGCCUGCAAUAGGGGUCUUUCUCUCUCCUGAACGAGAAGACCACCGCAUUUUCAUAUCUUUCCUUUCUUGCAUUUAUUGCUUUUUAGGAGUAGUCUAAAUGUAAUCUUUUCUUUUUCGCAUUUACUGCUUUUUUAGAAGUAGUUUUUAAAUAGAACCCUAGAGUUUGUCUGCCCCACGGGCAUCACUCCAUUGUAAACUAAAUAUUUGCAGAGUCUGUAUGCCCUUCGGGCACACUUUGUUUUAUUAAUAUAUAUAUUUAGGCAUUCGGCUCUUUCAGCCGACCAAUCAUUGCGUAUUUCAUUUAUUCGGCUCUUUCAGCCGAUCAGUUACUGUGUAUUUCUUCCAUUCGGCUCUUCUGCCAACAUUGAUCCUUGCAUAGUUUGUACAUUCGGCUCCUCCAGCUGAACCAGUUUUAUAGUGAAGAUUUUCGGACCGGCUGAUUCGAUCCCUCAUCAGCCGAAUCGUUUGAUCCAGUCGAAGGGCGCAAAUUUCGAGGGUCACUAUCCGCAGCCGUUCCUCACCCUGAUGCGCUUCCCGAGGAGGAUCUUUGACCAGGUCAGGGAUUAGGAGAAUCGGCUACCAACAAUAUAUG
rnacentral:lncRNA from 1 species